CAAAUUUGCUCCAUUAAUUGCCUAUUUAUUUACCAGAUAAUCCCUAAAUUCCUCAUUUGCUUCUCCUUCCCCUUCCCCAUUUUGCUACUUUCGCCGCCGUUUUCAGCUCCGCGUUUUGUCACUGGCGCUCUAGCUUCAGGUUGGAAUAUUAGAAAUUGAAGCAUUUUGUCCUGCUAAGAGGCGUAGGUCGAGUAAACUAUUGGAGUUCAAAAGGCUUUAAAUAAUUUUGCCAUGGUUCGUUCAAAGAUAAAAUACGAGUAUAUUGCUGAUGAUCGUACACGUCGCGAGACAUACAAAAAAAGAAAAUCAAGUUUGUUUAAAAAACUAUAUGAAUUGAAAACAUUAUGCGACGUUGAAGCUUGUGGCAUUGUCAUCAAUGAAGAUGGGACACAGUCUGAAGUUUGGCCUUCAAUGCUUGCAACAUCCUGAGUUGUAAAAAGGUUCUUAAGCUUACCUUCUUCUUUCCGAAUAACUAACAUGGUAGGCCAGUCUGGUUUUCUUAGGCAAGUUUUGUCUAGGAUAUCCAAGAACUUGGCUAAAGAGACCCAUAAGGUACAAUAUCUGGAGAAUGAACCACUCUUAACCGAGUGUUUGACCAAGGAACAAGUGAAAGUGAACAAUUCUAAGGAAUUGCACGAGAUGCUUCACAUAUUGGACAGGAAGAUUGAACUAGUUGAUGAUAAAAUUGCUAAUGUUGGCCCUUGUGAACAUCAAUUUUGAAUUCAUUCUUAUUCGAAUCUCUUUUAAAUAUGUUAGUAUUUAUCUUGAGAACAUACAUUUCAAAUUCAUUCUUAUUUGAAUCAUAUUAACUUUAUAUUCA